rnacentral:rRNA from 1 species
GGUGGAGCGAUUUGUCUGGUUUAUUCCGAUAACGAACGAGACUCUGGCCUACUAAAUAGAGACGGAAUUAUUACUGUUCCGGAUUCUUCUUAGAGGGACAAGUGGUUUUCAGCCACACGAAAUUGAGCAAUAACAGGUCUGUGAUGCCCUUAGAUGUCCGGGGCUGCACGCGCGCUACACUGAAGGAAUCAGCGUGCUAAAACCAUUGUCGAAAGGCAUUGGUAAACCCAUCAAAAUCCUACGUGAUUGGGAUCGGGAAUUGCAAUUAUUUCCCUUGAACGAGGAAUUCCCAGUAAGUGCGGGUCAUAAGCUCGCGUUGAAUACGUCCCUGCCCUUUGUAC